rnacentral:rRNA from 1 species
AUUGAACGCUGGCGGAAUGCUUUACACAUGCAAGUCGAACGGUAGAGGGGGCAACCCCUCGAGAGUGGCGAACGGGUGAGUAAUAUAUCGGAACGUGCCCAGUCGUGGGGGAUAACGUAGCGAAAGUUACGCUAAUACCGCAUACGAUCUAAGGAUGAAAGCGGGGGAUCGCAAGACCUCGCGCGAUUGGAGCGGCCGAUAUCAGAUUAGGUAGUUGGUGGGGUAAAGGCUCACCAAGCGAAAGACCUGUAGCUGGUCUGAGAGGACGAACAGCCACACUGGAACUGAGACAGGGUCCAGACUCCUACGGGAGGCAGCAGUGGGGAAUUGUGGACAAUGUACGCAAGUCUGAUCCAGCCAUUCCGCGUGCAGGAUGAAGGCCCUCGGGUUGUAAACUGCUUUUGUACGGAACGAAAAGGUCUCUCUUAAUACGGGGGACUCAUGACGGUACCGUAAGAAUAAGCACCGGCUAACUACGUGCCAGCCGCCGCCGUAAGAC